rnacentral:siRNA from 1 species
UUGAGGUCGGUGAAAUCUACA